rnacentral:rRNA from 1 species
AGCGAACGCUGGCGGCAGGCCUAACACAUGCAAGUCGAGCGCCGUAGCAAUACGGAGCGGCAGACGGGAGAGUAACACGUGGGAACGUACCCUUUGGUUCGGAACAACCCAGGGAAACUUGGGCUAAUACCGGAUAAGCCCUCACGGGGAAAGAUUCAUCGCCGAAGGAUCGGCCCGCGUCUGAUUAGCUAGUUGGUGGGGUAAUGGCCCACCAAGGCGACGAUCAGCAGCUGGUCUGAGAGGAUGAUCAGCCUCACUGGGACUAAGACACGGCCCAGACUCCUACGGGAGGCAGCAGUGGGGAAUAUUGGACAAUGGGCGCAAGCCUGAUCCAGCCAUGCCGCGUGGGUGAUGAAGGCCCUAGGGUUGUAAAGCCCUUUCGGCGGGGAAGAUAAUGACGGUACCCGCAGAAGAAGCCCCGGCUAACUUCGUGCCAGCCGCCGCGGUAAUAC